GAGGGUAAGCGUCUCUCUUUUCUAGCGCUAAAAAAGAAUAAAGUAAGUAAAGUCUGAUUAUUUGUGUCGGCUGAUUUCCUGCAUGUGUGGUCACAUGGUUCCGGUCCGUCAGUAAACUCAUAUGAUAACAUUAGCUAAAGUUGCACUAAUAUU